rnacentral:rRNA from 1 species
AUAAGCGCCAAUAGCAAGAGGGAUCACCUGAUACCAUUCCGAACUCAGUAGUUAAGCCUCUUUACGCUGACGAUAGUACUUAAAGGUGAAAAUAGGAAGGUGCUUUUU